AUGACCUUCAUCAUCAUCUUCAUCUGGACUCUCACAGCGUUUGCUCAAGAGUGUAGAGGACAGAUCACCGUCACUCAGAGUCCCUCAAUGACAGCAGCUCAACCAGGACAAACUGUGAACAUCAACUGUAAAACCAGCAGUAAUGUGUACAAAUAUAGUGAUGGGGAUGAAACUUUAGCCUGGUACUUACAGAAACAUGGAGAAGCUCCUAAACUCCUGAUUUAUUAUGCAAAAAAACUCCAGUCAGGAACUCCAUCUAGAUUCAGUGGCAGUGGAUCUAACAGUGAUUUCACUCUGACCAUCAGUGGAGUCCAGACUGAAGAUGCUGGACAUUAUUACUGUCAGAGUUUCCACUGCAGAACAGAUUAUCGUGGUAAUUGUGCAGGUGACUGUGUUCACACAGUGAUAAAGAGUCGUACAAAAACCUCCGUCAGUCAGAGUCACAGUGACUGAACUGAUACUGCAGCUGCUCACACACUUUCACACACUUUCACACACUUUCACACACACUCAACAGCAGAAACACAAAUAUGAUCUUAAUAAUAGCUUUGUUGAGCUUCAUCAGUAUUUCUUCAGAUAAUUAGAAAUUAUUUUGA